UGGGGCCAGCGACGGUCGCCCCGCCCUUGCAAGGCUUGCGAGCCCAAGCACCGU
rnacentral:ncRNA from 1 species